rnacentral:rRNA from 1 species
GAUGAACGCUGGCGGCGUGCCUAAUACAUGCAAGUCGAGCGAACGGACGAGAAGCUUGCUUCUCUGAUGUUAGCGGCGGACGGGUGAGUAACACGUGGAUAACCUACCUAUAAGACUGGGAUAACUUCGGGAAACCGUAGCUAAUACCGGAUAAUAUUUUGAACCGCAUGGUUCAAAAGUGAAAGACGGUCUUGCUGUCACUUAUAGAUGGAUCCGCGCUGCAUUAGCUAGUUGGUAAGGUAACGGCUUACCAAGGCAACGAUGCAUAGCCGACCUGAGAGGGUGAUCGGCCACACUGGAACUGAGACACGGUCGAGACUCCUACGGGAGGCAGCAGUAGGGAAUCUUCCGCAAUGGGCGAAAGCCUGACGGAGCAACGCCGCGUGAGUGAUGAAGGUCUUCGGAUCGUAAAGCUCUGUUAUUAGGGAAGAACAUAUGUGUAAGUAACUGUGCACAUCUUGACGGUACCUAAUCAGAAAGCCACGGCUAACUACGUG